rnacentral:misc_RNA from 1 species
UAUUGAUAUGCGUAAGUUCAGCGGGUAUCCAUACCUGAUCCGAGGUCAAGAGUGUAAAAAGUACUUUUGGACGUCGUCGUUAUGAGUGCAAAGCGCGAGAUGUACUGCGCUCCGAAAUCAAUACGCCGGCUGCCAAUUGUUUUAAGGCGAGUCUACGCGCAAGGCGAGACAAACACCCAACACCAAGCAGAGCUUGAAGGUACAAAUGACGCUCGAACAGGCAUGCCCCAUGGAAUACCAAGGGGCGCAAUGUGCGUUCAAAGAUUCGAUGAUUCACUGAAUUCUGCAAUUCACACUACUUAUCGCAUUUCGCUGCGUUCUUCAUCGAUGCCAGAACCAAGAGAUCCGUUGUUGAAAGUUGUAACUAUUAUGUUUUUCAGACGCUGAUUGCAACUGCAAAUGGUUUAAAUUGUCCAACCGGCGGGCGAGCCCACCGAGGAAACGUAAGUACUCAAAAGACAUGGGUAAGAGACAGUGGGCAAAGCCCACAAACUCUAGGUAAUGAUCCUCCGCAGU